CCCAUAAUUUAAAAAAAAAAAAAAGCUAAUAGAAGCAACUAAAACCUAGAAGCUUCUAUCUUCUUUUCACUACCGGCGACAAAGACUAGGCUAAAGCAAGACUAGGCUAAAGCAAGUUGCCGGAGGCCAUGCAUGGAGCUUCCUUCAUCCACAGACCAGGAGAUACAAGCACCACUAGCCUAGGCAAGAAAGAAAAACCCACCACUAGCACAAACAGACCUGCUAUACCAAAUGGAGAAAACCAAGGGCUCAUCACCAACGCCAUGAGAAAGAAGAAAAGUAGGGCUAUAACAUUCUCAGUCUCAUAUAACUGUAGGAAGCCAACGAACCACUCUUUGAACCCCAGCUUUACAAAUCCCAAUUAGCUCUUUGGAAUCUCUCCCAAACGAAGGCCUUCUGCACCACAAGGACCACCGCAAUGCCCAGGAAGCAGCAAAGGAGAGCAUCUCUAAUAAACAUAGCUUCGGCUAAACAGAUCUUCUACAUUUAACACCCUCACCAUUGAUGUAACAAGAUCUGCCCAAACAAACACCAAAAUCAAAACUAUACAAUCCAAACUGGAAAAGGAGGGAAUCGAAACCAGCCGAAUGAGAUGCCAUCCCUUACCCCGAAGGGAAAGGGAGACCACCGAAGAUAAGCUCGGCUAAACUAAGAAACUAAAACAGAGAGGGAAAAAAAAAAAUCUAGAGAGGAUUUUCUC
rnacentral:misc_RNA from 1 species